rnacentral:sRNA from 1 species
AAACUGUUUACCAUCCAAAUUCGAUUGUCGGGCAGA